rnacentral:rRNA from 1 species
AUUGAACGCUGGCGGCAGGCCUAACACAUGCAAGUCGAGCGGAUGAGGGAAGCUUGCUUCCCGAUUUAGCGGCGGACGGGUGAGUAAUGCCUAGGAAUCUGCCUAUUAGUGGGGGAUAACGUUCCGAAAGGAACGCUAAUACCGCAUACGUCCUACGGGAGAAAGUGGGGGAUCUUCGGACCUCACGCUAAUAGAUGAGCCUAGGUCGGAUUAGCUAGUUGGUGAGGUAACGGCUCACCAAGGCGACGAUCCGUAGCUGGUCUGAGAGGAUGAUCAGCCACACUGGAACUGAGACACGGUCCAGACUCCUACGGGAGGCAGCAGUGGGGAAUAUUGGACAAUGGGCGAAAGCCUGAUCCAGCCAUGCCGCGUGUGUGAAGAAGGUCUUCGGAUUGUAAAGCACUUUAAGUUGGGAGGAAGAGUUGUAAGCUAAUAUCUUGCAGCUUUGACGUUACCAACAGAAUAAGCACCGGCUAACUCUGUGCCAGCCGCCGCCGUAAAAC